ensembl:processed_transcript
ACAGUGAGCUUCAGUUUAUAGCGCUGACGACUGACAAUGAGAAAGUCUUUUACAUAUGCUCUCUUAGCUUUAUUCAACAAAGCUGUAUAUCAAGAUGUGUGCUGUGCGCUCUCUCCUUUUGCUGAUAUUUGGAUUUAACAUGCUGAAGUUCAUCUGCUGUUACAGUGAUGGAAGUUUAUUGAACGACCAGUGUCAAAAUAUGGAUAUAAAUCAUGGAGUUCAAGCAUCAGGACAAGAUUCAAACCCUUUCACCGUCGUUCCAGAUAAUGUGAUCGUGGACAGUUCACAAGUGGGAAGGAGCUUUACAGUGACGCUCUCGACUUCUUCUGGUUCAUUUAUGGGCUUUAUGCUGGAUGCUCGACAGUGUGAUAGUUGUCUACCUGCUGGUGUGUUUAGUGUGCUUGACCCGAUGAAGAGUCUGCUCAUAUGUGGCGGCCAGGCCGUGGCUCAACCGGAUAACACAGAUAAAAAUUCAGUCCAAGUGAACUGGACGCCUCAAACAACUGGACAGUUUUUCUUCAGAUCUGCUUUCAUUAAAGAUUACAGUACAUUUUGGCUAAAGAAAGCAAUCAUACUCCCGACGACAACAACACCAACCACUACAACAACCACCACAACAACUACACCUACAACCACUACAACAACUAGACCCACAACUACUACACCAACUAUACCCACAACUACUACACCAACUAGACCUGCAACCACUACACCAACUGGGCCUACAACCACAACAGCAACUGUAACAAGCACGCCAUCACCACUGGCUCAGUGUGUGAAGUAUAUGAGAAGUUGUGUGGUACUGUUGUUAUUAAGCAGACUUUGUUUUCUUGGAGGCUCUUCUCUGCUCAUGAUCAUCAAACCAGUUUCAAAGAUGGCCUGAUGCACACCAUCAUAGUUUUCUUUUACCGCGGACCAAGUGAUGAAUUAAGAACGUGUUGGAUUGGUUCUCUCAUAACAGUUGACCUACUAAAUACAAUCAUUACAUCCGUCUCAAUAUUUUAUGGGUUAUGGUGGUUUCAAGAGCACUGGAUGCCAAUAUUAAUGGGAGUUUAUGUUUUUUUGGAGUUCAUCCUUUACCUGGGAGCAGUUUGCUUUCAGCAGAUGGAAAAACGCAAGGCAGAAAGAAAAAAUAUUACUGCUCUGAAACACAGGAAACUCUCAUGGAGGUUCAUGUUUGUCAUUUGCUUAGUGUUUUAUAUCAUGAUUACAGUUGCACUUAUUGCCGGAGUGUCUUCACAUGUAAUGUAGAACUGUCAAAAGAACUUCUGCAAGAUUCUUUGCUUGGCAGAUGUUUGCAGAACAGUUUCAAGAUUUUAGUGUGUUUCUACCAGGGUUCCCACGGGUGAUGGGAUUUGUGGAAUGUCAUGGAAUAUGAGGCAUAUUCCAGACAUUAGCAGUCAGGGAAUUUUAUAUAUAUUUUUGUCAUGGAAUAUCAGGGAUAUUUGCUUGCAUUUGAAAUCUUACCUUUUAUCAAACUGUUCUAUCACAUUGUUUUACUUGUUUUGACUACUGUUAUGGUUAGGCUAU